rnacentral:rRNA from 1 species
GACGUAGGGGGCCAGCGUUGCUCGGAAUCACUGGGCGUAAAGCGCGCGUAGGCGGACCUGCAAGUCGGGGGUGAAAGCCCGAGGCUCAACCUCGGAACUGCCUUCGAUACUGCGGGUCUCGAGUCCGGGAGAGGUGAGUGGAAUUCCUAGUGUAGAGGUGAAAUUCGUAGAUAUUAGGAAGAACACCAGUGGCGAAGGCGGCUCACUGGCCCGGUACUGACGCUGAGGUGCGAAAGCGUGGGGAGCGAACAGG